rnacentral:lncRNA from 1 species
AUGGGAAAAGCAACCUGUUCCUCUGCCUUGAAGGAAUCAGCUGUAGAGAGAACGGCAGCAAGUGGAAUGGAAAUGUCACUUCAGCCCCGAAGCUUCGUAAAUAUCAGGAAAGAAGACAGUACCAAUCUCCCAGCCCACAGCUCACAAAGCCACUCUCUCUUCCAGCAGGUGGAGUCACUAAAAAUAACAUGGAAUCUAUCAGGCAGUUUUCUUAGGACUUUUGUUACUCCAUUCUUGUGUCUCUGGUUUUAUUGCCUGGAUUGCUAA